rnacentral:rRNA from 1 species
UACGGGGGGGGCAAGCGUUGUUCGGAAUUACUGGGCGUAAAGGGCGCGUAGGCGGCCUUCUAAGUCGGACGUGAAAUCCCUCGGCUUAACCGAGGAACUGCGUCCGAUACUGAAAGGCUUGAAUCCGGGAGAGGGAUGUGGAAUUCCAGGUGUAGCGGUGAAAUGCGUAGAUAUCUGGAGGAACACCGGUGGCGAAGGCGGCAUCCUGGACCGGCAUUGACGCUGAGGCGCGAAAGCUAGGGGAGCAAACGGG